ACCAGAGUGGUGCAGUAGUUUGAGCAUCGGACUACAACUCUGGAGUCCAGGGUUCGAAUCCCCGCUGGGCA